rnacentral:rRNA from 1 species
AUACGGAGGGACCAAGCGUUGUUCGGAAUCAUUGGGCGUAAAGCGCGUGUAGGCGGCUUGGCAAGUCGGGCGGGAAAUCCCGGGGCUCAACCCCGGAACUGCACCCGAAACUGCUUGGCUAGAGUCCCGGAGAGGAAGGCGGAAUUCCCGGUGUAGAGGUGAAAUUCGUAGAUAUCGGGAGGAACACCAGCGGCGAAGGCGGCCUUCUGGACGGUGACUGACGCUGAGACGCGAAAGCGUGGGGAGCAAACAGGAUUAGAAACCCCGGUAGUCC